rnacentral:rRNA from 2 species
UGUCGUCAGCUCGUGUUGUGAAAUGUUGGGUUAAGUCCCGCAACGAGCGCAACCCUUAUCCUUUGUUGCCAGCGGUCCGGCCGGGAACUCAAAGGAGACUGCCAGUGAUAAACUGGAGGAAGGUGGGGAUGACGUCAAGUCAUCAUGGCCCUUACGACCAGGGCUACACACGUGCUACAAUGGCGCAUACAAAGAGAAGCGACCUCGCGAGAGCAAGCGGACCUCAUAAAGUGCGUCGUAGUCCGGAUUGGAGUCUGCAACUCGACUCCAUGAAGUCGGAAUCGCUAGUAAUCGUGGAUCAGAAUGCCACGGUGAAUACGUUCCCGGGCCUUGUACACACCGCCCGUCACACCAUGGGAGUGGGUUGCAAAAGAAGUAGGUAGCUUAACCUUCGGGAGGGCGCUUACCACUUUGUGAUUCAUGACUGGGGUGAAGUCGUAACAAGGUAACCGUAGGGGAACCUGCGGUUG